rnacentral:rRNA from 1 species
UUAUACAGCGACUGCGAAUGGCUCAUUAUAUAAGUUAUCGUUUAUUUGAUAGUACCUUACUACUUGGAUAACCGUGGUAAUUCUAGAGCUAAUACAUGCUAAAAAUCCCGACUUCGGAAGGGAUGUAUUUAUUAGAUACAAAACCAAUGCCCCUCGGGGCUCUCUGGUGAUUCAUGAUAACUCGUCGAAUCGCACGGCCUUGCGCCGGCGAUGGUUCAUUCAAAUUUCUUCCCUAUCAACUUUCGAUGUUUGGGUAGUGGCCAAACAUGGUGGCAACGGGUAACGGAGGGUUAGGGCUCGACCCCGGAGAAGGAGCCUGAGAAACGGCUACUACAUCCAAGGAAGGCAGCAGGCGCGCAAAUUACCCAAUCCCGAUACGGGGAGGUAGUGACAAUAAAUACUGAUACAGGGCUCUUUUGGGUCUUGUAAUUGGAAUGAGUACAAUUUAAAUCCCUUAACGAGGAACAAUUGGAGGGCAAGUCUGGUGCCAGCAGCCGCGGUAAUUCCAGCUCCAAUAGCGUAUAUUAAAGUUGUUGUGGUUAAAAAGCUCGUAGUUGAAUCUUGGGCCUGGCUGGCCGGUCCGCCUCACCGCGUGUACUGGUCCGGCCGGGUCUUUCACUCUGCGGAACCACAUGCCCUUCAGUGGGUGUGGCGGGGAAGCAGGACGUUUACUUUGAAAAAAUUAGAGUGCUCUAAGCAGGCCAAUGCUCGGAUACAUUAGCAUGGAAUAAUAAAAUAGGACGCGCGGUUCUAUUUUGUUGGUUUCUAGGACCGCCGUAAUGAUGAAUAGGGACAGUCGGGGGCAUCAGUAUUCAGUUGUCAGAGGUGAAAUUCUUGGAUCUACUGAAGACUAACUACUGCGAAAGCAUUUGCCAAGGAUGUUUUCAUUAAUCAGGAACGAAAGUUAGGGGAUCGAAGACGAUCAGAUACCGUCGUAGUCUUAACCAUAAACUAUGCCGACUAGGGAUCGGACGAUGUUAUUUAGUUGACUCGUUCGGCACCUUACGAGAAAUCAAAGUGCUUGGGCUCCAGGGGGAGUAUGUCGCAGCUGAAACUUAAAGAAAUUGACGAGGCACCACAGGGUGAGCUGCGCUAGUGGACUCACACGGGAAACUCACCA